GACGAACGCUGGCGGCGUGCUUAACACAUGCAAGUCGAACGAUGACGACCGAGCUUGCUCGGUCUGAUUAGUGGCGCACGGGUGCGUAACACGUAAGCAACCUGCCCUUCACUCUGGGAUAACCUCGGGAAAUCGGGGCUAAUACCGGAUAUGAGCACCAGUCGCCAGCCGGGUGUGGGAAAGCUUUUCGGGGUCGGAUGGGGUCGCGGGCUUUCUGGUUGUUGGUGCGGUAGGGGCUCACAAAGGCGAUGACGGGUAGCCGGCCUGUGAGGGCGACCGGCCACACUGGGACUGAGACACGGCCCAGACGCCGACGGGAGGCAGCAGUGGGGAAUAUUGCACAAUGGGCGAAAGCCUGAUGCAGCGACGCCGCGUGAGGGAUGACGGCCUUCGGGUUGUAAGCCUCUUUCAGCAGGGAAGAAGCGAAAGUGACGGUACCUGCAGAAGAAGCGCCGGCUAACUACGUG
rnacentral:rRNA from 1 species